CUUGCACAGGUGCUGCAUGGCUGUCGUCAGCUCGUGUCGUGAGAUGUUCGGUUAAGUCCGCUAACGAGCGCAACCUCGCUGUGUGUUAUAUGUGUCACACGGGACUGCCGGGUCUUAAGCCGGAGGAAGGUGGGGAUGAUGUCAAGUCAGCAUGGCCUUUAUAUCCUGGGCUACACACACGCUACAAUGGCCAACACAAUAGGUUGCUAAGCCGCGAGGUGGCGCCAAUCCAUAAAGUUGGUCUCAGUUCAGAUUGUAGGCUGCAACCCGCCUGCAUGAAGAUGGAGUUGCUAGUAACCGCAGGUCAGCUAUACUGCGGUGAAUACGUUCCCGGGGCUU
rnacentral:rRNA from 1 species